rnacentral:rRNA from 1 species
GCCAGCAGCCGCGGUAAGACAGAGGGUGCAAACGUUGUUCGGAAUUACUGGGCGUAAAGCGCGUGUAGGCUGCCCAGCAAGUCGGAUGUGAAAGCCCUGGGCUUAACCUAGGAAGUGCAUUCGAAACUGCUGGGCUUGAGUUCUGGAGAGGAAGGCGGAAUUCUCGGUGUAGAGGUGAAAUUCGUAGAUAUCGAGAGGAACACCGGUGGCGAAGGCGGCCUU